AGGCCAGAGCCAUAUAGAGUGAGAGUUGCGACAACUCCAUUGACUCCAAUGGAACGCUUUUUUUACAGCAAUGGCGGCUCGUGGAGCCUCUCAAUAGUUCCCGGAAGUAGCGGCAAACCGAUGCCGCGCCGUAGAAGAUGCAGCAGAACAAACCGUUUGCAACGCACUUUUAACAGACCCUGGUAUCUGGCUGAUGGUUCACUGGAAUGCUGACUGGCUGCUGACUGACUUGCUGCUGGUUGACUGGGCAGUGUCACCUGUCCCUGUCUCUCCUCUCUAGCCAUGUCCUUUUUCUUCACUCUCACUUUCCCUUCUCUGAGUGUCCUCGUUCUUUUUUCCUCAACCUUUGAAACUGAUAGAGGUCUAGGGGUGCAUCGUGGAGCAGGGCCCUCCUCUUUUUGACCACAGGACGGUGUACAAAGAUUGUGGGAAUAGCAUCUGGUCUCAGCCUACUCUUGAAUUUUUUGGUCAUGACAAAUUGCUUUGCCACAAUUUGUCUGCAUACUGACUUCAGUUUAGUUU